AGAGAAGAUUUGCAUGGCCCAUGCGCAAGGAUGACACGCAAAUUCGUGAAGCAUUCCAUAUUUUUAUCCUGAAUACAUGUCUAACAGUCGUCCUUGCAUCGUUGGCCAUUGCUUUUCACUGCCUCUAAAAGAUAAAAGUUGCUCCAGAAAUUGGAGAUAUAUUUGAUUUAAAAGAAAAAACUUGAACAAAUGGACAAUAUGUCUAUUACGAACACACCAACAAGUAAUGAUGCCUGUCUGAGCAUUGUGCAUAGUUUGAUGUGCCAUAGACAAGGUGGAGAGAGUGAAACAUUUGCAAAAAGAGCAAUUGAAAGUUUGGUAAAGAAGCGGAAGGAGAAAAAAGAUGAAUUGGAUUCCUUAAUAACAGCUAUAACUACAAAUGGAGCUCAUCCUAGUAAAUGUGUUACCAUACAGAGAACGUUGGAUAGAAGGCUUCAGGUUGCUGGUCGGAAAGGAUUUCCUCAUGUGAUUUAUGCUCAUCUCUGGAGGUGGCCUAAUCUUCAUAAAAAUGAACUAAAACAUGUUAAAUACUGUCAGUAUGCCUUGUGAUAGUGUCUGUGUGAUAGUGUCUGUGUGAUAGUGUCUGUGUGAAUCCAUAUCACUAUGAACGAGUUGUAUCACCUGGAAUUGAUCUCUCAGGAUUAACAGUGCAGAAUAAUGCUCCACCAAGUAUGUUGGUAAAGGAUGAAUAUGUUCAUGACUUUGAGGGACAGCCAUCGUUAUCCACUGAAGGACAUUCAAUUCAAACCAUCCAGCAUCCACCAAGUAAUCGUGCAUCGACAGAGACAUACAGCACCCCACCUCUGUUAGCCCCAUCUGAGUCUAAUGCUACCAGCAACGCCAACUUUCCCAACAUUCCUGUGGCUUCCACAAGUCAGCCUGCUAGUAUACUAGCAGGCAGCCAUAGUGAAGGACUGUUGCAGAUAGCAUCAGGGCCUCAGCCAGGACAGCAGCAGAAUGGAUUUACUGGUCAGCCAGCUACUUACCAUCAUAACAGCACUACCACCUGGACUGGAAGUAGGACUGCACCAUACACACCUAAUUUGCCUCACCACCAAAACGGCCAUCUUCAGCACCACCCGCCUAUGCUGCCCCAUCCCGGACAUUACUGGCCAGUUCACAAUGAACUUGCAUUCCAGCCUCCCAUUUCCAAUCAUCCUGCUCCUGAGUAUUGGUGUUCCAUUGCUUACUUUGAAAUGGAUGUUCAGGUAGGAGAGACAUUUAAGGUUUCUUCAAGCUGCCCUAUCGUUACUGUUGAUGGGUAUGUGGACCCUUCAGGAGGAGAUCGCUUUUGCUUGGGUCAACUCUCCAAUGUCCACAGGACAGAAGCCAUUGAGAGAGCAAGGUUGCACAUAGGCAAAGGUGUGCAGUUGGAAUGUAAAGGUGAAGGUGACGUUUGGGUCAGGUGCCUCAGUGACCACAUGGUCUUUGUACAGAGUUACUACUUAGACAGAGAAGCUGGGCGUGCACCUGGAGAUGCUGUUCAUAAGAUCUACCCCAGUGCAUAUAUAAAGGUCUUGAUUUGCGUCAGUGUCAUCGACAGAUGCAGCAGCAGGCGGCCACUGCACAAGCUGCAGCCGCCGCCCAGGCAGCAGCCGUGGCAGGAAACAUCCCUGGUCCAGGAUCAGUAGGUAGAAUAGCUCCAGCUAUCAGUCUAUCAGCUGCUGCGGGAAUUGGUGUUGAUGACCUUCGUCGCUUAUGCAUACUCAGGAUGAGUUUUGUGAAAGGCUAGGGACCGGAUUACUCAAGACAGAGCAUCAAGGAGACCCCUUGCUGGAUUGAAAUUCACUUACACCGGGCCCUCCAGCUCCUAGAUGAAGUACUUCACACCAUGCCAAUUGCAGACCCACAGCCUCUAGACUGAGGAAUUUCUUUUUACUGCUGGGGCCCUUAACAUUAGCAGGAUGGUGGACUAUAAAAUACAAUCCUGUUUAUAAUCUGAAGAUACAUUUCACUUUUGUUCUGCUUUAUCUUUUCAUAAAGGGUUGGAAUAUGUGUUUGCUGCCUUGCUCCUAGCAGACAGAAACUGGAUUAAAACAAUUUUUUCCCCUUAUUUAGAACUUUUCAGGCAUGGCUCAGAGCUUGAAGAUUAGGAAAAACACAUUCUUAUUAAAUCUUCACCAGUUAUGUAUGAAGGAAUCAUUCCUGUGCUGGAAAGUUUAGCUCUUUAAACUGUCUUAGAGCCUUUUAUAUGCAGAACAUUGAUAGGUGUUAUUCUACAGAAUAAAUCCAAUAUAACUGAUUUUAAAGGCAGAGAAGUUCUCAAAGUUAAUUCACCUAUGUUAUUUUGUGUGCAAGUUAGUAUUGUUGAACAUACACUUUACUCCAAAAACAUUGUGCCAUGUGGGUGAAUUAAUUUUACCAAGAGCAAAUUUGUGUUUAAAAAAUAAGAUAGCAAUGUAUUAUAUAACCUUUCAUCCAAAAUAUUUUUUGCAAGUUAAACUAGUGAAGACGAUUUCAAUUCAAAUUGUCUUACAACUUCAGUUUUAUUUUUGCCAAGGCAAAAAACAUUAAUCUGUGUGUAUAUUGAGAAUUUCUUAGAAUUACCAAAGAAAUGUCAUUUAAAUUACAUUUGUUAUCCCCUAAUGGAUGACUUAUUUAUCAAGAAGUAUACGUCUGCCCUGUUAAACAGUAGAUGUAUUCUUCUAUAUUUCUGGGCACAAGGUUGAUUACUAAGAAGCCUAGAAGAGGAAUUUCUUUUUCCUUCAUUAAUUCAUAGGGAAAGGUUUUGUAUUUUUAAAAACACUAAAAGCAGUGUCACUCUACCUAAUAUCUCACUGUUCUGCAAAGGCGGCAGUGCUUAAACUAAAUAAUGAGUAUUUUGGAAACUGCUAAAUUCUAUGUUAAAUACUGUGCAGAAUAAUGGAAACAUUACAGUUCAUAAUAGGUAGUUUGGAUAUUUUUGUACUUGAUUUGAUAUGUGACUUUUUUUCGUAUACUGUUUAAAUCAUGUAUGUUAUGGACAUUGUUUAAAAUUCAGUUUUUGUAUCUUGGGGCAAGACUGCAAACUUUUUUAUACCUUGUGGUUAUUCUAAGCCCUUUGCCAUCAAUGAUCAUAUCAAUUGGCAGUGACUUUGUAUAGAGAAUUUCAGUAGAAAAGUUGCAGAUGUAUUGACUGUACCACAGACAUAAUAUGUAUGCUUUUUACUUAGUUAGUAGCACAAAUAAAACUGAAUCUCAACAUGAAAAAAAAAAUCAGUAUU